AAAGUGGAGCAAUCCAUGAGUAAAGCGGCGUACGGGUGAGUAACACGUGGGGCAUCUACCUCUUAGUGGGGAAUAACUCUGAGAAACCGGAGCUAAUACCGCAUAAGCCUGGAAAGGGAAAGCAGCAAUGCGCUGAGAGAGGACCCCGCGGCCGAUUAGCUAGUUGGUGAGGUAAAGGCUCACCAAGGCGUCGAUCGGUAGCCGGCCUGAGAGGGCACACGGCCACACUGGCACUGAAACACGGGCCAGACUCCUACGGGAGGCAGCAGUGGGGAAUCUUGCACAAUGGGGGCAACCCUGAUGCAGCGACGCCGCGUGAGCGAUGAAGCCCUUCGGGGCGUAAAGCUCUUUCGGCCGGAACGAUAAUGACGGUACCGGAAGAAGAAGCUGCGGCUAACUACGUGCCAGCAGCCGCGGUAAUACGUAGGCAGCAAGCGUUGUUCGGAGUUACUGGGCGUAAAGAGUGCGUAGGCGGUUUCCUAAGUUUGGUGUGAAAUCUCCCGGCUUAACUGGGAGGGUGCGCCGAAGACUGGGGAGCUAGAGGAUGGGAAAGGCAAGCGGAAUUCCUGGUGUAGCGGUGAAAUGCGUAGAUAUCAGGAGGAACACCGGCGGUGUAGACGGCUUGCUAGACCACCCCUGACGCUGAGGCACGAAAGCGUGGGUAGCAAACAGGAUUAGAUACCCUGGUAGUCCACGCCCUAAACGAUGCAUACUUGGUGUGGGCAGUUCAUUCUGUCCGUGCCGGAGCUAACGCGUUAAGUAUGCCGCCUGGGGAGUACGGUCGCAAGGCUGAAACUC
rnacentral:rRNA from 1 species